CCUACGGGAGGCAGCAGUGAGGAACAUUGGUCAAUGGACGAGAGUCUGAACCAGCGAAGUAGCGUGAAGGAUGACUGCCCUAUGGGUUGUAAACUUCUUUUAUAUGGGAGUAAAACAGGGUAUGCAUACCCUCUUGUAUGUACCCUAUGAAUAAGGAUCGGCUAACUCCGUGCCAGCAGCCGCGGUAAUACGGAGGGUCCGAGCGUUAUCCUGAUUUAGUGGGUUUAAAGGGAGCGUAGACGGAUGGUCAAGUCAGUUGUGAAAGUUUGCGGCUCAACCGUAAAAUUGCAGUUGAAACUGGCAGGCUGGAGUACAGUAGAGGUGGGCGGAAUUCGUGGUGUAGCGGUGAAAUGCUUAGAUAUCACGAAGAACUCCGAUUGCGAAGGCAGCUUACUGGACUGUAACUGACACUGAUGCUCGAAAGUGUGGGUAUCAAACAGGAUUAGAUACCCGGGUAGUC
rnacentral:rRNA from 1 species